AGGUCACUUACUUUGCAUUCGUCCUUGGUGGUCACCCCAGGGUCUCUAGAGUGAAAAUUACUCAAUCUAUGGAUUAAACAGAAAAUUUAGUUGUAUGAAGUGCAAUUUGGGACAUUCUUCCAGUUGUCAGCAACUUUGUGAAAAAGGCUGGAAACUUAAAUGCAGAAUUCUGGCCUGGUGUUUGGUCCGUGCUGUCUUUGACUCUUGCAUCUCCAUCAUCCUGACCCUCUUUAGCAGCCUGCCAUGUAUUUAUUUGGAGGCCACCAUGAGCACCCAUCUGCAUAAUAUGACUUUGUUACUCAGAUGUCCAUGCUCCUACAAAUUCUACAUUUUUUGUAAAGCUGCAACAAGUUGAAACCCUAUAAUUAUUAACGUUUGAUUUUGAAAUAUGUAAUUCAAAUACAUGAAUAAGUAACAAAAGCAGAAAUAUAUUAAGACAUUACCUUUUUGUUGCUUGUUUACUGAUCUAUCAAUCCUUUUGCAUUUUCAUAAUUGAUCAUCAUAACUUGGUAUACAGUGGAUGUGUGGCUGCAGAUAACUUUCUGAAGUCAAUUUAAAAAGACAAAAGUUAAUAAAUGCUGAAUUGGUCAAAUAUACAUUGUUGUAUUUUCACCAUUUUGAUGUUUAGGCAUUUCAUAACUUGAGGGUUAAUUCACGUAUACUGAUGUUUCAAAUCAAAGAUUAAUUUAUUAAUGACAGCUAAUCAUUUUAUAAAGAUUUUUAUUACAAUAUUUAUUUAUAUAAUAUCAAUUUAAUACAUUUAAUUCGUUACACCUACAUUACUGAGCGCAAGGGAGUGCAGCCAACAAAUACAUUCAGGUGUGUUCGACUUAAAACCGAGAUGCGCAGACAGCACGUGGUAUGACAUCAAAGUACCGCGAGAGUUUGGGAAAGCCCCGGAAAAGGUUUGAACUCGCGGUAUUUGAUGUCACGAUCGGUUUGCGUGUAGAUCAGCAUGAAGUCGAACACAUCUGAAAGAUGUGUGGGCUGCCUGCACUCAACGUUGCGAUAAUUCAGUAGAGUCUAACCUCAAUCGGUUUUUGCAGCUUCUGGGUGUCGUGUCGAACGAUCGCAGAACGAUAUUUUGUUCUUUUCCAACUCGAUUUUUAACUCCCUAAACUAGUAGGAUGUUCCAACGGGUGAAGCAACAGUGCUGACGGCAGAGUUUCAAUGUCAAUGUAAGUAAACCAUUUUAACAGAAAAUAUGUUGUUAUGCAGGCAUGUAAGUUAGUCGAUCUACAGAAUGAUCGUCGUAUAUAAAUGUUCUAUACGCGAUUAAAAGCUUAUUAACGUUUAUCAAUGCACUGCUAUUCAGGCCGCUGCAAAGUCCCGAAGCCACGUUGUAACGUUAACUCCACAUGUUACGCACUGGUGGGGAUAAACCAGCCAUUUUAAUAGAGUUAUUAAAUGUCUCAAACCUUUCCCGCCCUUUAACGUUACGUUAAAAUGGCCCUUAUACGGAUAACGUUACUGUCAGUCAGACCUUAAACCACUCAAAACCGUUAACGUUGUUCUAUUGGAGUGGUUUGAUAAUUGUAUUUAUUAAUUGUUUCAGUUAUAUUAGUUAUAUCUGUUCUUUAAUUCGUAUUUCUAACAAUUAAAACCCAGGAAUGACAAGCUAUACUUACCAACAUUUUGACGAUCAAACUGACAGAAAAACUAACUUAAAGCCGACUAUUAAACCAAAAACAUACUAUUACAAAGUGAAGAGUAACGUAAUGUGUACAAAAUGUAUUAUUUACAGGUUAUUAAUAAUGUUAUUUGCGACAAAAAAGUUGAGGGCACUCGAGCAAAUAGCGGUCUUCUGGUAAAUAUUGUGGUCACGUGAUGGCCUCGCGACAUAUAAGUCGUUUCCGGUCGUUUCUCAAACGCACAACUGCGUCCUUUUAAAAUUAUUUUUAAUAUUUUUUUUAAAUAAUAAGAAAUACAAGGGGGUACAUUAUACAUAUAUAAAAUAAAAAUAAAUAAGGCUCCGUCCUUUUCUUUUUUUUUUAAAUAAGGCUCCGUCCUAGAAGGCUGCAUGUCUUGGCUGCCACGUCAUCAAGCAUCGUCGAAGGACAUCUCAAUCUGCUUGUUUUCUAUUUUGUUGUUUUAAUUUAAUUACAAAAUGUUUAACUGUCCAUGUUGUAAAGACAGUUGAUACAUGACUUUUAUUCACUGUACUACAUUAUUGAUUUUUUUUGGUGAUGCAUUGCUAAUUUUCAACUUCUCUCUUUAAAGUUUUCAUGCCAUGAUCACUGGGGCGGAAACCAUGACGUUGCCUUGGACUUCAAACUAAACCAUCUCAUUCUGGCUUUUUUCUAACAUCGAAAUCUCAGAAGGACAGGACUAAGAUGGACGCAGCCUCCACAUGCAACCUUGCAUUUGAGGAACACCCAUAGAACGGUCAACUUACCCCAUACUCUAACCUGAAUGCAGGGAUCAUAAAACUUUAUCUUUUACCCUAAUUGUUAGAUGGGUGUUGAUACCAAACUUUUUUGUCUCGUCUACCCAGGAGAAAGUCAUGGGUUCUGCUGCUGAGGUUGUCAUAAAGCAUGCUUUUUCCAUUUGUUGCAUUGGGCAAUAUUAUCAAGAGAUUCUGAAAGAAAUAAGAUAAUUUUCAAAGCAUUAACAUGAAUAUGAAAGCAUUAAUUCAUUAAUGACCAUCUUUUAUUAUUGUUUAUUUACAGUGUCUUUUAUUCUGCUUACCUGACUCAUGCAGAAUUCUGGCUUGAUGUUUGGUCCACCUGUUAGCUGGCUCUGGUGCUUGGUAGUCUUCUCAAACCUCUGAAUCAAGGCCACCAUGAGAGGCCUUCUGAAGACCAUCAUUACGCUUCAGAUCCAGUUGUCUUUACUAUGAGAUGGGACUGAACUGGAGUCUGUGAACUAAUGCUGUUUUCGAGACAACUUGGAUGUUGGAUAUUAUUGACAUCAAACCUGUAAGAAGUCUGGAACAGACUUCAACUUGGGACAGAUCCAUCAACACCGACCUCAACGAGAUGCAUCAUUUGACAUUGCAGACAAGUUGGUGGCUAGCCUUUCACAGCCUUACAUGAACCGCAAACAAACUUUAAACUAUUUUUACAGCACAUAAUAUUUAUGAACAUGAAUGUUAAAUUAUCCAGUAACCGUUUUCUGCCAUAAUUGGCACAAGAGCACAAACAACUUCUGGCGUCUCAUUAUGUGGUAAACACGCAAAUGUGAUAUGUGAUUGACUGGAAUGCAUUGAGGUCGGAGGUAGGAUAUUUAAUUACAUAACAUCAGAAAUCCGAGUUGUUUGUAACACUGCACAAUAUUUCACAUAAUUGUCACCACCUGAUUAUCCUCCCAUGUUUUUAACACAACCAUUGAUUGGUCACACGGAUGAAGGCAGCAAGCAGAGACAUUUGUCCUUUGUAUCUCUCAAAAAAAAAAGAAAUAAAUCUAUAUUUAAUGUUAAAAACACUUACAGUAGACUGUGUUAGAUAACUGUGCUCUUGGAAGUCAGCUUAAGUCAACAAAUGAUCCUUUCUCUUUUUAAUGCAGAACUUAAGGAUGAAGCACCCUGAUCUACUAAGAUGCACAGAUUCAACUCUGGCCCAGCAUCAUCCCCACACCUCAUCUGCCAUCAGUUUAAUUUAAUGUCUGUCAAUUGCAAAUGCUAUUUAUUUCAGUUAUAUUACAACUUAAUGUUAACUUUAAUUGAGACUAGUAUUGUGUAAAGCUGGGGUUUCCAAACUUUUAAUUUCAAAACCUAUUAGACAAGUGUAAUCUAUUCUAGACCCACUAAAAUAUUUUUUUUAUGGGGUAAAACACAUUUGUUCUCUUUCAGUGGAGUCAUUUUAUUUUCAUAAUAUUCCAUAAUGUAAAGCAGUGGUUCUUAACGUUAUUCCUCGAGGCCCAUUGCUCUGCACAUUUUGUAUGUCUUUUUUAUCUGACAGACUCGGUUCAGUUCAUUGAGAUCUCUUCUAAUGAGUUGAUGAUUUGA